rnacentral:rRNA from 1 species
GAUAACUCCGGGAAACCGGGGCUAAUACCGGAUAAUAUUUUGAACUGCAUGGUUCGAAAUUGAAAGGCGGCUUCGGCUGUCGCUUAUGGAUGGACCCGCGUCGCAUUAGCUAGUUGGUGAGGUAACGGCUCACCAAGGCAACGAUGCGUAGCCGACCUGAGAGGGUGAUCGGCCACACUGGGACUGAGACACGGCCCAGACUCCUACGGGAGGCAGCAGUAGGGAAUCUUCCGCAAUGGACGAAAGUCUGACGGAGCAACGCCGCGUGAGUGAUGAAGGCUUUCGGGUCGUAAAACUCUGUUGUUAGGGAAGAACAAGUGCUAGUUGAAUAAGCUGGCACCUUGACGGUACCUAACCAGAAAGCCACGGCUAACUACGUGCCAGCAGCCGCGGUAAUACGUAGGUGGCAAGCGUUAUCCGGAAUUAUUGGGCGUAAAGCGCGCGCAGGUGGUUUCUUAAGUCUGAUGUGAAAGCCCACGGCUCAACCGUGGAGGGUCAUUGGAAACUGGGAGACUUGAGUGCAGAAGAGGAAAGUGGAAUUCCAUGUGUAGCGGUGAAAUGCGUAGAGAUAUGGAGGAACACCAGUGGCGAAGGCGACUUUCUGGUCUGUACUGACACUGAGGCGCAAAGCGUGGGAGCACCAGGAUUAGAUACCUGGUAGUCCCGCCGUAACGAUGAGUGCAAGUGCUAGAGGUUUCCCCCUUUGUGCU